GACGAACGCUGGCGGCGUGCUUAACACAUGCAAGUCGAACGGAAAGGCCCUGCUUUUGUGGGGUGCUCGAGUGGCGAACGGGUGAGUAACACGUGAGUAACCUGCCCUUGACUUUGGGAUAACUUCAGGAAACUGGGGCUAAUACCGGAUAGGAGCUCCUGCUGCAUGGUGGGCGUUGGAAAGUUUCGGCGGUUGGGGAUGGACUCGCGGCUUAUCAGCUUGUUGGUGGGGUAGGGGCUUACCAAGGCUUCGACGGGUAGCCGGCCUGAGAGGGGGACCGGCCACCAGAGGACUGCGAUACGGCCCAGACUCGUACGGUAGGCAACAGUGGGGAAUAUUACACAGUGGGCGGAAGCCUGAUGCAGCAACGCCGCGUGCGGGAUGACGGCCUUCGGGUUGUAAACCGCUUUCGCCUGUGACGAAGCGUGAGUGACGGUACUGGGUAAAGAAGCACCGGCUAACUACGUG
rnacentral:rRNA from 1 species